ensembl:snoRNA
CGCAGCUGUGUCAAAUUCAGUGCCUGCCCACCCCGUGGCUGGCACUGGCCUGAAAGGCUGCCACAAAAACACUGUGACCCAUGGGCCCUGAUCCCCCAUGCUGGGCCUCAGGGAUAAAUUUGGUCACAGACACCU